UCCAGACUGCAAUUAUUUACUUAGUGCAUUCAGGGUCUUGUAUUAGGUGGUGGGGAUUCCGCGCUGAACCAGACAGACAAGGGUCCUGUUCCUGCCUGCCCUCGGGGUGUGUUUUGGGAAUUCCUCCUUGAGGGUGCUUUGGCACUGAAUGGGCAGAGGUCUGGUGCUGGGGGGCUGUCCCACACCAGCAAGACUUGUAAUGUACAUGAAUGUGAAUGUCAUUUCAGGAUGGUAAAAGGAGGCCUUUUCUUUUUUUUUUUUUUUUCUGAGACGGAGUUUCGCUCUUGUUGCCCAGGCUGGAGUGCAAUGGCACGAUCUUGGCUCACUGCAACCUCUGCCUCCCAGGUUCAAGUGAUUCUCCUGCCUCAGCCUCCCUAGUAGCUGGGAUUACAGGCAUGUGCCACCACGCCCAGCUAAUUUUGUAUUUUUAGUAGAGACAGGGUUUCUCCAUGUUGGUCAGGCUGGUCUCGAACUCCCGACCUCAGUUGAUCCACCCACCUUGGCCUCCCAAAGUGCUGAGAUUACAGGCAUGAGCCACCGCGCCCGGCCGAAAUGUUUCUUACUAAAAGGGCGUACUGGAUCUGAGGGUUGGGAAAUGACACUUCCUUAUGUCAGGCCUGUCCCAGGAAGCACCCCGCAGUCGGGUACGGAGGGCCAUGAGGAUAGUACGGUGAGGGGAGGAAGAGGAUAUAGCAACGUAAAUUUUGCCAUCUUGGCCUCAGUUUGGUUUUAAAGGACAGCAGCUGGACCUUCCCUAUGUGUAGGACUCAAUCAGUGGGGCCAGGGUGUGGAAGACAGCCCUGUGUCUUAUUACCUACUCAGGGCCUGAGGUGUGGCAACCAGGAUCUUGCAGGGAAUGCCUUCCCAAAAAGAAGCAAAAUACAGAAGAUAUAAACAGGAAGCCAGGCAUAGUGGCUCACACCUGUAAUGCAAGCACUUUGGGAGGCUGAGAUGGGAGGAUCCCUUGCACUCAGGAGUUUGAGACCCACCUAAGCAACACAGUAAGACCCUGUCUUUAUAAAAAAAUUUUAAAAAUUAUCCGGGUAUGGUGGUGUGUGCCUGUAGUCCCAGCUACUUGAGGGGCUGAGGAGGGAGGAUUGCUUAAGCCUGGAAGUUCAAGGUUGCAGUGCACUGUGAUCAUGCCAGUGCACUCCAGCCUGGGUGACAAAGCAAGAACCCUGUCUCAAAAAAAAAAAAAAAGAUAUAAACAGGAGGUGAUUCAUCUGGUGCCCCUGGAGGUUGGAGACGAAGGUGAUGGGGUCUAUCCCAGUUCUUGGGCGUUCCUGGUGUUUACUGUGUAGUAAAUUACUUCUGCUUCCAGCUGUGCAGACAAGCAAACAGAAAAGCUGGAUUAAAGCUGCUGUUUUUAAGUCUAUUUGAAGGCCCAGGAGAGCAAAUUAUCUCUGAGGUAUUACCUCACCAAAUACUGGCAUCCAGUGCAGAAAAGCAAGAGUUGAUGGAGACACAUAAAAAACAAACAAGCUCGGCUGGGCACAGUGGCUCACGCCUGUAAUCCCAGCACUUUGGGAGGCUGAGGUGGGCUGAUCACCUGAGGUCAGGAGUUCGAGACCAGCCUGGCCAACAUGGUGAAACUCCGUCUCUACUAAAAAUACAAAAAUUAGCUAGGUGUGGUGGCGGGUGCCUGUAAUCCCAGCUACUCGGGAGGCUGAGGCAGGAGAAUCACUUUAACCUGGGAGGCAGAGGUUGCAGUGAGCUGAGAUCGUGCCACUGCACUCCAGCCUGGGCAACAGAGCAAGACUCUGUCUCAAAAACAAACAAACAAAAACCAAAACAACAAACAAACAAAAAACAAACUAGCUCUGGCCGGACGUGGUGGCUCACGCCUGUAAUCCCAGCACUUUGGGAGGUGUGUGGAUCACCCGAAGCCAGGAGUUCAAGACCAGCCUGGCCAACAUGGUGAAACCCCAUCUAUACUAAAAAUACAAAAAAUUAGUCUGUCGUGGUGGUGUGUGUGCCUGUGGUCCCAGCUACUGGGGAGGCUGAGGUGGGAGGAUCACUUGUGCCUGGGAGGCAGAAGUUGCAGUGAGCUGAGAUUGUGCCACUGCACUUCAAUCUGGGUGACAGAGUGAGACCACGUCUUAUUAAAAAAAUAAAUACAAAUAUUAGUUGGGUGUGGUGGCAUGGGCCUGUAAUCCCAGCUACUUGGGAGGCUGAGGUGAGAGAAUUGCUUGAACCCAGGAGGUGGAGGCCUCAGUGAGCCGAGAUCACGCCACUGCACUCCAACCUGGGCAACAGAGCAAGAAUCUGUCUCAAAAAAAAAACAAAAACAAAAAACAAAGGCCAGGCGCAGUGGCUCACACCUGUAAUUCCAGCACUUUGGGAGGCCCAGGCAGGUGGAUUACUUGAGGUAAGGAGUUUGAGACCAGCCUGGCCAACAUGGUGAAAUCCUGUCUCUACUAAGAAUACAAAAAUUAGCUGGGCAUGGUGGCCCAUGCUUGUAAUCUCAGCUGCUCCAGAGGCUAAGGCACAAGAAUCACUUGAAACCCAGGAGGCAGAAGUUGUAAUGGGCCGAGAUUGCACCAUGGCACUCCAGCCUUGGCAACAGAGUGAGACUGUCUCUAAAUAAAUAAAUACAUACAUACAGACAGACAUACAUACUAGCUCCAAAUUACUGAUGCCAAUCAACAGUAAUAAAAAAUAUGAAUGAUAUGAAACGUGAUAUUAAAAUGAUUAGUAAAUCACUAUAGUCCAUAAUGGGAAAACUCAUUCCAUUAUGUACUAAAAUAACAAAAAUCGGGCCAACACUUUGGGAGACUGACGUGGGCAGAUCCCUUGAGUUCAGAGGUUCGAGACUAGCCUGAGCAACACAGCAAAAUUUCAUCUCUACAAGAAAUAUAAAAAUUAGCCAGGUACGGUGGAACAUGCCUGUGGUCCCAGCUACUCGGGAGGCUGAGGUGGGAGGAAGAGGAUGGCUUGAGCCUGGGAGGCGGAGGCUGCAGUGAGCCGAGAUCACGCCACUGCACUCCAGCCUGGGCAAUAGAGCCAGACCUUGUUUUUUUUUUUUUUUUUUUUUUUAAAUCAUUCUCAUACCUUGAUAAGGAAAUACGCAACUUUUAAAUGUUAAUUUAGAAAAUAACCAGCAAAUGUAGCAGAUUUUUAGUGUCCCCUAAAUUAGUGUUCAAGGGGAUCAAUCUGGACGCAGAGAAAGAAGUAAAAAAAUGGAGAACAGGCCAGGCACAGUGGCUCACGCCUGUAAUCCCAGGGCUUUGGGAGGUUGACGGAGCCGGAUUGCUUCAGCCCACGAGUUCAAGACCAGCCUGGGCAAAAUGGCAAAGCCCAAUCUCUAUGGAAAAUAAAAACUUUUAAAAAUUAGCCCACCAUGGUGGCACUGGCCUGUAGACCCAGCUACUCAGGAGGCUGAGGUGGGAGGAUCCCUUAAGCCCAGGAGUUGGAGGUGGCAGUGAGCCAUGAUUGCGCCACUGUACUACAACCUGAAUGAUGGUGAGACCCUAUCUCUAAAAAGAAAAAGAAUAAUUUUAUCUUGGCCCCCAUGUGGCACCUCACAGCUUGGGAACAACAAUUUCUCACGUUUCCUCAGCUCCAACCACCACUCACAAGCUGUGUGACCUCGAGCAAGGCACCCAAGCUCCUCUGGACCUCAGCUUCCCUGUCAGUACAAUGGGGAUAACAAUAGUGCUUACUUUAUGGGGUCAUUUGUGAAUGUGAGAUGAGUUAAUAAAUGGAAAGCACUUAGAAAAACCUCUGGAACCACUGAAUCAAACUGGAUAUCAUUAUUGAUCCCUCAUUCAAUCCUUCAAUACCCAUUUAGUGUCGUCUGUCCAGAUGCUGCAGAUACGCCUAGCACACAGUGACUGCUCAGCGAACAGUGUCACAAUGAACAUGUGCAAUGGCCUUGAAGGCCACAUUGGGACUUGCCCUGAUCAGCAGGUUGGAGGUGCUCCAGGCCCGAAGCUUAGCUGUGAGUGGGGACAUGGGAGGGAGGUUGGAACUACCACUGCAGAAGGGGCUCUGAACCUAGGUUCAGGAGAGAGGCUUUGAACUUGCAUGUGUGGGGAGCCAUGGAAGUUUCCAGGAAGGACUGCAGGUCCCACCUGGAGAUGUGCAGUUCCUCCUUCAGGUACCUGGGAAUGUCAGUCACACCCCAGACCUGCUCAGCUCCUCCAAACUGCUGUUCCUGUAUCUGAGAGCUUCAAGUCCCCAAAUGGCCUAUCUAAUACAUGGGGAAACUGAGGCCUGGGGAGGCCUGGGGACUGAGCUAGCAUUCACUUGUGGAAAUAGUCUGGCAUCACCUGAAGAAGUUAGAGACAUGCAAAUCCUACGCCCUCAGAUUCCCCUCUGAGAGUCUGCGUGCCUAUGUGAACCAGGAGACAUGUGCGGGAGUGAACACUGCAGUGUUACUCCAAACAGCAAGAACCAGAAACAGCCCAAAGGGCCGUUACAGGAGAAUAUGGACACCCAGGCUGCACAUGCACACCAUGGAAUGCUGUAUGGCAGUGGAAAUAAAUGAACAGCUACCCCUACAGGCAAACAGGAAUCAUAGCAACAGCUGGGAGUGACGGCGUGAAGCAGAGGGACAAGAAUGUGCACUCAUGCCCGGUCUGCCUGGCUUACAAUCCUGGCUCUCUGCUUGCCAGCUAGAACUAUCAUGCAAAUCAUUUAACCACUCGGUGCCUCAGUUCCCUCAUAUGUAAAAUGGACAUGGUAACAGUGUGUAUCCCACAGGCCAUUAUGAGGAUUUAAAUGAUUUAAAGGAUUGUGGGCUGGGCACAGUGGCUCAAGCCUGUAAUCCCAGCACUUUGGGAGGCCGAGGUGGGUGGAUCACCUGAGGUCAGGAGUUCAAGACCAGCCUGGCUAACAUGGUGAAACCUCGUCUCUACUAAAAAUACAAAAAAAAAAAAAAAAAAAAAAAAAAAAUUAGCCAGGUGUGGUGGCAGGGGCCUGUAAACCCAGCUACUUGGAAGGCUGAGGCAGGAUAAUCACUUGAACCUGGGAGGCAGAGGAUGCAGUGAGCUGAGAUCGUGCCACUGUACUCCAGCCUGGGCAACAGAGUGAGGCUUGGUCUCAAAAAUAUAAAUAAAUAAACAAACAAAUAAAUAAAGGAUUGUGAAUGUAAAGGGGACAGAACAGUGCCUGACACACACAUCAAGUGCUACAUGAGUGUUAAGAGAAAGCCGGCUGGGUGUGGUGGCUCACGCCUGUAAUCACAGCACUUUGGGAGACUGAGAUGGACGGAUCACCUGAGGUCAGGAGUUCGAGACCAGCCUAGCCAACAUGGAGAAACCCUGUCUCUACUAAAAAUACAAAAAUUACCUGGGUGGCGGGCACCUGUAAUCCCAGCUACUCGGGAGGCUGAGGCAGGAGAAUCGCUUCAAUCUGGGAGGUGGAGGUUGCAGUGAGCCAAGAUUGUGCCACUGCACUCCAGCCUGGGUGACAGAGCGAGACUGUCUCAAAACAAACAAAAAAACAAAAAGAAAACCAGAAGCCGGGUGCAGUGAUUCAUGCCUGUAAUCCCAGCACUUUGAGAGGCUAGGGCAGGAGGAUCGCCUGAGGCCAAGGGUUCAAGACCAGCAUAGGCAACAUGGCGAGACUCUGUCUCUAUUAAAAAUUUAAAAAUUAGCCAGGUGUGGUGGGAUGCACCUGUAGUCCCAACUACUCAAGAGGCUGAGGGGCGAGGAAUACUUGAGUUUGAGGCAGCAGUGACCUAUGAUUGCAGCACUGCACUCCAGCCUGGACAAAAGAACAAGAACCUGUCUCAAAAAAAACAAAAACAAAAACAAAAAAAAGAUAAAUCUAGAAUGUCCAGUGGGGAAAAAGUAAGUUUCCAAAGAUUACAUAGUGUUAUGGUUUGAUGACUUGUACCUCUCAAACCCAGCACUUUGGGAGGCCAAGGUGGGUGGAUCACCUGAGGUCAGAAGUUUGAGACCAGCCUGACCAACGUGGUGAAACUCCAUCUCUACUAAAAAUACAAAAAUUAGCCGGGCAUGGUGGCGGGCACCUAUAAUUCCAGCUACUCGGGAGGCUGAGGCAGGAGAAUCGCGUGAACCUGGGAGGUGGAGGUUGCAGUGAGCUGAGAUCGUACCAUUACACUCUAGCCUAGGUGACAGAGCACUACUCUGCCUCAAAAAAAGAAAAAGAAAAAGAAAUGUAAUUGCCAUUGUAACAGUAUUAAGAGGUGAGAUCUUUAAGAGGUCAUCAAGCAAGCAAGAGAGAGAGAGAGAGAGAGAGAGUCUUUUUCUACCACGUGAGAACAUAGUGAGGUAAUCUGCAAGCCAGGAAAAGAGUCCUCAUCAGAAAUGACCCUGACAGACCUUGUUCUGGGAAUUCUAGCCUGCAGAACUGUGAGAAAAUAAAUUUCUGUUGUUUAAGCCAAAAAAAAAAAGUGGUAAUCAAGAGGCCUCAUGAAUGGAUUACUGCUGUUAUUAUGGGAGUGGGGAGUGGGUUUCUCAUAAUAAAAUGGGUUCAGCCCCCUCUCUGGCCCUCUCUUACUCUUUCCCCCUCCACUAUGGAAUGACACAGCAAGAAGACCCUGGCCAGAUGCUGCACCUAGAUCUUGGACUUCCCAGCCUCCAGAACUAUAAGGAAUAAAUUUCUAUUCUUUAUAAAUUACCCAGUGUCAUGUAUUUUGGUACAACAGCACAAAACAGACUAAGAUGUAUACUUUUUUUUUUUUUUUUUUUUUGAGACGGAGUCUCGCUCUGUCGCCCAGGCUGGAGUGCAGUGGCGCGAUCUCGGCUCACUACAAGCUCCACCUCCCAGGUUCACGCCAUUCUCCUGCCUCAGCCUCCCGAGUAGCUGGGACUAUAGGCGCCCGCCACCACACCUGGCUAAUUUUUUGUAUUUUUAGUAGAGAUGGGGUUUCACCGUGUUAGCCAGGAUGGUCUCGAUCUCCUGACCUCAUGAUCUGCCUGCCUUGGCCUCCCAAAGUGCUGGAAUUACAGGCGUAAGCCACUGUGCCCAGCCUAAGAUGUAUACUUUUAUACAGUUCAGAAACACCAAAGAUGAAGCAAGAUAUUUAGGCUGCAGACUACUGACUUCUUGUAUUCUCACAUAGCUGAAAGAGGACGAGAGUCUCUGGGAUGCCUUUUAAGGCACUGAUCCCAUCUAUGAGGGCUCUGCCCUUGUGACCUAAUUACCUCCCAAAGGCCUCACCCCUAAUGCCAUCACAUGGGGCGGUUAUGAUUUAUUUUUUUUUCUUUUGAGAUGAAGUCUCGCCCUAUUGCCCAGGCUGGAGUGCAAUGGCGCAAUCUCAGCUCACUGCAACCUUCCCCUCCCGGGUUCAAACGAUUCUC
rnacentral:lncRNA from 1 species